rnacentral:rRNA from 1 species
CAAAGUUACUAAGGGCGUAUGGGGGAUGCCUUGGCUCUCAGAGGCGAAGAAGGACGUGUCAAGCUGCGAUAAGCCACGGGGAGCUGCCAGAGGGCUUUGAUCCGUGGGUUUCCGAAUGGGGCAACCCAUCCUGUUGAAGACGGGAUACCCGAGAAGGGGGCGAACGCGCUGAACUGAAACAUCUAAGUAGGCGCAGGAAAAGAGAACAAUAGUGAUUACGUGAGUAGUGGCGAGCGAAAGCGUAGGAGCCCAAACCGGCAUGUUUACGGAUGUGUCGGGGUUGUAGGACCUGCAUAAAGUGUUAACUGCGAACUGGAACCGGUUGGAAAGCCGGGCCAUAGGGGGUGAUAGUCCCGUACAGGCAGCGGGUUAACAUGGGCGGGGAUCCUGAGUACCGCGGGACCGGAGAAAUCCUGUGGGAAACUGCCAGCACCAUCUGGCAAGGCUAAAUACUCCUGAGAGACCGAUAGUGAACCAGUACCGUGAGGGAAAGGUGAAAAGUACUCCGAGAGGAGGGUGAAAUAGAACCUGAAACCAUACGCUUACAAGCGGUCAGAGUCCUUUAGUGGGAUGAUGGCGUGCCUUUUGCAUAAUGAGCCUACGAGUUGCUCUUCACUGGCGAGGUUAAGUCUGUUGACGGGCGAAGCCGAAGCGAAAGCGAGUCUGAAAAGGGCGUAUAGUCAGUGGAGGCAGACGCGAAACUUUGUGAUCUACCCUUGACCAGGCUGAAAGUUUGGUAACACAAACCGGAGGGCCGAACCGAUAAACGUUGAAAAGUUUCCGGAUGAGUUGAGGGUAGGGGUGAAAGGCCAAUCAAACUGAGAGAUAGCUCGUACUCCCCGAAAUGUUUUUAGGAACAGCCUGGAGAUUUGAGUGUUACAGAGGUAGAGCUACCGAUAGGGCUAGGGGGCUUCACCGCCUACCAACCCCUGACGAACUCCGAAUGCUGAUAACAUAUGCUCUGGAGUGAGCCCUUGGGUGCUAAGGUCCGAGGGCGAGAGGGGAACAACCCAGACCAACGGCUAAGGUCCCUAAAUAACCGCUAAGUUGAACUAACGAGGUCCAAUUGCACAGACAGCUAGGAUGUUUGCUUGGAAGCAGCAAUUCAUUUAAAGAGUGCGUAACAGCUCACUAGUCGAGCGAUAGGGCGUGGAUAAUAAACGGGCAUCAAGCGGUUUACCGAAGCUUUGGACUUUGCGCGAGCGAAGUGGUAGGGGAGCAUUCCGGCGACGAAGAAGGUGUGUUGUGAGACAUGCUGGAGUUUCCGGAAAAGCAAAUGUAGGCAUGAGUAACGAUAAUUCUGGUGAGAAACCAGGACACCGAAAGACUAAGGUUUCCCUGGCCAUGCUAAUCAGCCGGGGGUUAGUCGGGUCCUAAGGCGUACCCGAAGGGGGAAGUCGAUGGACAACUGGUUAAUAUUCCAGUACUGCCGUUAACUGCGAAGGAAGGACGGAGGAGUGAAAGCACCGCGGCCUGACGAAAUAGGUCGUUGAAGGGGGGUAGUUAUACACCGGACAGGCAAAUCCGUUCGGAGUGAUGAGCCCCGAUAGUACCGCAAGGCUUCGGCUGCGUGGAUAGUGUGCCUAAACAGACUUCCAGGAAAAAUUUCUAAGCAUCAGGUUAAUGGCACCCGUACCGUAAACCGACACAGGUAGUCGAGGAGAGAAUCCUAAGGUGCUCGAGUGAUUCACGGCUAAGGAACUAGGCAAAAUGGCCCUGUAACUUCGGGAGAAGGGGCGCCCCUGUGAAAGGGGGCCGCAGUGAAGAGGCCCAGGCGACUGUUUAACAAAAACACAUGGCUAUGCUAAAUUGAAAGAUGAGGUAUAUGGCCUGACACCUGCCCGGUGCCGGAAGGUUAAGAGGGGAGCUUAGCGCAAGCGAAGGUUUGAAUCGAAGCCCCGGUAAACGGCGGCCGUAACUAUAACGGUCCUAAGGUAGCGAAAUUCCUUGUCGGGUAAGUUCCGACCUGCACGAAUGGUGUAACGAUCUGGGCGCUGUCUCGGCCGUGAGCUCGGUGAAAUUGAAGUCUCGGUGAAGAUGCCGAGUACCCGCAACGGGACGGAAAGACCCCGUGAACCUUCACUACAACUUUACAUUGAUUUUGGGUACGUCAUGUGUAGGAUAGGUGGGAGACUGCGAAGCUGUGUCGCUAGGCAUGGUGGAGUCAUUGUUGAAAUACCACCCUUGAUUUAUCUGGAGUCUAAUCCCACGCAUGUGGGAGACAGUGUAUGGUGGGUAGUUUGACUGGGGUGGUCGCCUCCAAAAGAGUAACGGAGGCUUCCAAAGGUUCCCUCAGCACGCUUGGUAACCGUGCGCAGAGUGCAAUAGCAUAAGGGAGCUUGACUGUGAGACCGACGGGUCGAUCAGGUACGAAAGUAGGGUAUAGUGAUCCGGUGGUUCUGCAUGGAAGGGCCAUCGCUCAAAGGAUAAAAGGUACUCCGGGGAUAACAGGCUGAUCUCCCCCAAGAGCUCAUAUCGACGGGGAGGUUUGGCACCUCGAUGUCGGCUCGUCACAUCCUGGGGCUGGAGAAGGUCCCAAGGGUUCGGCUGUUCGCCGAUUAAAGUGGCACGCGAGCUGGGUUCAGAACGUCGCGAGACAGUUCGGUCCCUAUCUGUUGUGGGCGUUGGAAAAUUGAGAGGAUCUGUCAUUAGUACGAGAGGACCGUGAUGGACAAGCCUCUGGUGUACCUGUUGUGGUGUCAGCUGCAGCGCAGGGUAGCUAUGCUUGGAAGAGAUAAGCGCUGAAAGCAUCUAAGUGCGAAACUCGCCUCAAGAUGAGUUUUCCAUUGAGAGUCGUAGAAGACUACUACGUUGAUAGGCUGCAGGUGUACGGUGUGUAAGCAUUUUAGCCGAGCAGUACUAAUCGCUCGAAGACUUUGUCGC